CCCUUAGAUGUUCUGGGCCGCACGCGUGCUACACUGAUUAUUUCAACAAGUGUUUUAACUGGAGAGUUUGCGUAAUCCUGAAAUGUUAUCGUGAUGGGAGUAGAGUAUUGUAUUUGUUAAUCUUUAACGAGGAAUUCCUAGUAAGUGUAGGUUUAUAAGUUGUUCUGAUUACGUCCCUGCCCUUUGUACACACCGCCCGUCGCUCCUACCGAUUGAUUGAUCCGGUGAAUUACAUAGAAUUUUGCGUUUUACAUGACGGAAGACGAAGUGUUUUAAACCUUAUCAUUUAGAGGAAGGAGAAGUCGUAACA
rnacentral:rRNA from 1 species